UGCGUGACAUUAACAGGCCGAGUCGUAACUUUCAAAAGUUCCUUCAAAACAAAUUAAAACGUUAAACAACGGAGAUCGGAUUAUGAGGUUACUGUUUUUAAUUUCAGGUGAAGUUUUCGUGUACCUGGCCCAGACCUGGCCAACUAGGUGCUUGUGACAAUAGAAAUAAAAUUGUCUAAUCCAAUACUGCAAGUUCGCAAGCUAUGUCUUCUGAAGCUAAACAAUUUCUGUUGCAAGAUUUUGUAAAUCUUUAAGAUAUUGAUGCCUUCGCCAGAUCCAAUUCUUUGCUGCUAUCUAUUUUGCGGCACCACAGCAAGAAAAUUCUGCCACUUAAGAUUUUGUGGUAAACGCCACCUAGUUCUAAUUUAGGAGGACAAUGUCUGAUUGAUAGAUUCGAGGUUAAUCCCUCUCCUCUGUUUUGGAAACCUACAAGAGAUUACUGGAAUUGAAGACUGACAAUUUGUGAAGGUGUAGAUAAAUAAAAAAGUGUAUAUCUGCUAUCUGGGCUCUUUUCUGUGGCCCGUUUCCCUAACUAACCACUAACCAGGUCAAUCACCCCCUGUGAUAACCAGGAGGAUGAGGAGGGCUCUGGUCGAACGGGGACUUGGAAGGCGGAUGAUCUGAGAAAAACUUUUGGAGGGUCAUGAGUCUAUCCGGAAAUCCUGCUAUGACUAAUCGCUCCCUAGUAAAACUGGCCUCGUACUCUUCUCUCUUCUUCACCGGCCAGGUGUUGUUUAUGUUCGCGUAGUUGCUGUCCGCUGUGGUACGUUGUUGCAGCCUAUGCUGGUGAAAGCUCUUAUUGCAUGAAGUGAAACUGGCUGUUCCUUGGUCCUGCUGUCAUAUUAUGGAAAUUGCAUCAUUAUUUUGUUAAAUUGUCCUUGUGUCUUAGUGUACCGCUUAUGUGAUAAGAAGGGACAAAAGCAGAUAUAUGGGGAUGUUUUAUGUCAAACAAAUAAUAAACAUGUUUUCGGGAUUGGGAUAGGAAAGUGGAGGAUGUUGGAGGGGGAGGACAUUUCAAGUAUGGACAAAUUUAAUUAAUCUGUAACCAUACAAACAUUUACCCACUAAUUAAUCUCCAAACCCCACAAACUUAUACCUUCUUAUCUUCAAACCCCAUAAACAUAAACCUAACAAACACUAAACCCUAAAAAAAUCUAACUUACACCCUAAACCCCAUUAACCAAUGUUAAAUCUUAACAUUGUAAUGUGUAAUUAUAUGUAAUAAAAAAUUUUAUUAAGUACAAA